rnacentral:lncRNA from 1 species
ACAGAAGUGGGAUUUCAGCUUACAUCUGAUCCCAGUCCCCAUGGCCUUCCUGCACUGUGCCCCUGCCGUAGACUCACAGCCCUUUUACUAAAGGAGAUACAAACAGCACAGUGAACACAGUGAACACAGUCCAAUGAUUUCAAAGAGAGGGUUAAAGUGUCAUGCAGGUAUUGAACUAAAAGGCUAAAGUUUCUUCCAAUCUAAAAUUUUAAUGAGAAAUCUAAGAAUACUCUGAGAUUUGCUGUAGAUAUUUGUAAAAUGGAAAUGAAACUGUGUGGAUGCAGAUCAUAUAAAUUAAGCUUACCUACAUCUCCAAAGGGACAAUAUAGAAUGAGACAUCAAAGUCAUAAAUUCUACCAGCAAACACUGUCUCCCCUACUCUGCAAUGAUAGAUGACCAGUUGUUCUGUCUGUCAAAUAAUUCAUUCUCCUCAGAGUUUACAAGUUUAUAAACAUAAGAGGAUUUGCACUUUCAUAAUCACACAAAAUUCUCCAUUUUGAAAGCCUAGAGUCAGUUUUUGUAAAUGCAUAGGAUUAUUAUUCCCUAGCUGUCAUCACAGAGUGAAGAGAGUCACCUUCUCUCCUAGAAACAUAUAGUUUAUAAUCAGAUGACCUGUGUAGAGGCUUUAGCUCAAGCAUUUAUUGAUUAUGUGACCUGGGGCAAGGCAUACAAGUUUCAGCUUGUGAUCUCUAAAGUAGGAUUAAUAAUAAACAUAAGUGAGCAGUGGGGAUCAAAUGAGAUAAGACGGUGACUUACAAUUUCUAUUCUAUGGAGACUCUGGGGUAAGGAGAGGCCAAGCAAGAGGAGCCACAGCCCUCUCUCCAUCCGCCACUGCUUGGACCAGAGAAAGUCAGCUUUUAAUUUUGCAGAUCUCAGCUUCAGGCCUUUAAAUUCCCAGUUCAAUUAUUUGUCAACCACAUCAGUGGUUGUUUCCAAUAUAAACAUUCUUUCACAAUCAUCCACAUGCUAUGAUUCACAGAGCAUGUCCAUAGCCAUUAGCUCAUAUAUAAUCCUUACCAUAAUGCAAGAAAAUUAUCUUUCCCACUUGAAUGCUAAUGUACUAAGACACUAAAAGACUGAGUUUCUGUAUGUAGACUCCAAGAUGAGGCAGCAGUAGCUCCCAACCAGAGAAAGGCAGGCUCUUCCUGCAACCCUGGACAGAUUUCACAUUCCUGUUUCUGCCAAUCCACAAGAUACCAUCUUUAAUUUGAAAAUUGUUUGCCUUUUCAGAUGACCUAUGUUCUCACAAUAAACAAGCCACAUUCUCACUUUUCUUCAAAGAAUGAAACUUUUGGCUUAUCUUAAAGAGAAGGUAAAAGCAUUGAUUCAAAAUCCGAUAAGACUUAGAGCAUAGCCCAUGUUUCCGUCUGUGAGGCCAUACAGAACACAUUGUCCCCAGAGUGUGUAGACAGUCAUCCCAGCCCCAGCAGAGCACACUGGGAGGGACAACCGUCAUUAUAUGGAAACGACAAACACAUCAGCAACAAGGGUCAGAAUUUUCUUGUUAUUGAUGCUCAAUUUUAUCACGUUUAAGAGGAACAACCAUCUGGAUUUUUUUUCCCUAUUGGACAUCCUCUUUCUAUCUCUUUUGUAAUCCCAAACGCAUGGAUAUAUUGAUAUUUUCUCUACUCACUGAAUUCCCAUUAAUUCAUUAAUUUAUCAGAGAAGCAGUAAGCACUCAUCCUUUGCAGGACAUUUGACUAGGUAUCAUGAAUAUUGCAUUUAUAAUAACCAGUUCCUACUAUCAAGAUGUUCUCAGUCUUGCUAGAAAGUCAUUUAUAUAAAUACAAAGCAGAAUGAGGUGAGUACAUGAGAGAAGAACAAAGAGUUCUGAGAAUGCAAUUAAAGCUAAUUGUUAAAAAGUAACAUAAAAGAUUAUAUUAAUGCCCUGAAAAUAAUAAAUUAAAUGCAAGUUCAAAACCUCAAAGAUUUGGAGUUCAUGCUGUUGUACAGUGGGUUAAGAACCUGACUGCAGUGGUCUGGCUCAGUGGGUUAAAAGGACCUGGGUUACCACAACUGAGGUCUAGGUCGUAGCUGCAGCAGGGAUUCAAGCUCUGGUCUGAGAACUUCCAUAUGCCACAGGUGUGGCCACUAAAAAACAACAACAUCAACAACAAUUCAAAGGCUUGUAUUUACCUAAUAUUCCUUUCAUUGCUCUAACAUCUGUUGGAUAGAAUAAAAUUUUUCUAUCUCAUUAAGAGAUUUUACCCAUGUUCUUAUGUUAAGAGAAAGUAGUAACUGUACCUCCAUAAUGAAAAUUAAAUUACAAGAACUAGAAUUGAAAACAUGGCCAUGCCUGUGGCAUGCGGAAGUUUCAGGGCCAGCCAGGGAUUGAACCUGUGCCACAGCUGCAACCUGAGCCACAGGAGUGACAAUGCUGGAUCCUUUACCCACUGCAUCACCAGGGAACUCCUCUUUGUAGAAACCAAGAGGUUAAUUUUGAGGUAUGUAUGAAAAUUCAGUCAAGAAUAACCAAAGACAGUUUGAAAAACAAUACGUGAGAACUUAAAUAGAAAUUAAGAUGUUUUUAAACUACAUUAAUUAAUGCAUGUGUUGAUGUAAAGAUGAACAAAUAGUCCACUGAUAUUCUAGGAGCGUGAGCGCUGAAAUACAUACCUUCCAAAUCCCUUUCCCUAUCUAAAUACUCUCUCAUCCAUCACCAGGGUAUGGCUGUAUGUCAUGGCAGUAUGACACAGCUCUGAGGUCGGAUUUCUAGAAUCACACUCUCAAAGAGAACUAGAAUGUUCUCAGCAGUUUUAACUAAGGCUUGUCCUAUGACCUAGAAAUGCACUUAGAAUGUGGUAGUUGACUCCAGUUCCCAUUAUCAGAUGCACCCUUCAAAUUAGAAUAGAAUUGUUCUAAUAUAAUAUAAAACCUCUUACUCUGACGCAAAAGAUGCACCCAUACUGUAACAGUAUGUAUUGCAGGAAGGGAACUGCCAUGUCAUCACACAGCUCAUCAAAGAUUCAGCCAGUUUCAGCAUCCAGAUUUUGAUUCUUAAAUAGGUAAGUUUUGUUGCUGUUGUUUUUGUUUUUUCUUCUCUCUUUUUUUUCCCUCCCUCUUUACAAUACCCCCAAAUUACCAGAAUGCUUACUUUUUAUCCUGGGGAAAUAAUCUCUUCUUGUCCUCAAGGUUAGAACAAGUUCUUAAGUAUUCCCUAUGGUCAUCAUUGGCUCUGCUCCCCAUGUAAACUUGCAUAGCAAAGAUAUUUCAAUCUGAGACAAACUAUUUCCAAGUUCCUCAUCCAGGACAGGAGGUUUAAUGAGACAAAAUGCUCUCUGGGAGUAUCUUAGAAACGAAUUAAUUGUGAGAAUUUUGAAAAGAAAACAAAUUAUCCACUAAGAAUUUGGAAGAAAAGAAUAACACCUUGUUAUUUUUUAAAGGCACAAGUAACAGAAGGGAAAUAUUUUUCAACAAAAUAAUUUUACCUCCAAUUGUAAAAUCUGGUUUCUUCUAAAAUACGUAUAUAAUGUUCAGAGAAGGAGUUCCCGUCAUGGCGCAGCGGAAACGAAUCUGACUAGGAACCAUGAGGUUGCAGGUUCAAUCCCUGACCUUGCCCAGUGGGUUAAGGAUCUGGCGUUGCUGUGAGCUGUAGCAUAGGCCGGUGGCUAUAGCUCCAAUUAGACCCCUAUCCUGUAGCCUGGGAACCUCCAUAUGCUGCAGGAGUAGCCCUAAAAAAAAGAAAAAGUUCGGAGAAAAGGAAUAGAAGAACAUGAAACCAUGAAAAAGAGUAAAUCGCAGCUUGCAAAAACCUGUUAUCACAAUGGCAUUAUGUCCAUAUGACAAAUCUAUCAUGUAUAAACAAUGAGCAAUAGCGUUCUAAAAGAUGAGUAUCAAGCAUAAAUUGAUCCAUGUUAUGUCCUCAUCAUUCUACUUCCUGGACUCUGCAUUCUGACCAGCCACAAGUACUCACUGUCCUUCACAUUGGCCCAGACCAUUUACCUCCACGUGAUUCCUCUGUCUGAACUUCCCAGUAUUCUUCUUUGCAUUCCCAUAAAUAGUAGACACAGUCCAGGUCACUUCUCCAUUUAUUUAAUUUUAAGAUAAGUACUCCACUCGCAUGGAUCAAAACUUCAGUCUCCCUCCUACUACUGUUCCUCAGACAUGACCAAAGAUAUAUUUCCCAGUGUGUUCUUCAAUCAAGAGAAAUAUUUUAUAACUAUGGGUGUAUGUGUCCAUAUUUUACACAAAUAUGUCAUAUUAAUUGUUUGUUACCUUGGGCAAGUUAUUUAACUUUCUAUAGCAAUCUCCUCAUCUGUAAAAUGGAAGAAAAAUAAUACUACAGGCAUCAUAGGGUUGUUUUGAGGAUUAAAUGAGUUGAGUACACACACAAACACUCACACACACACAUAUAUAUAUGAAUCACUUAGAGUAGAAUCUGGCACAGAGCAAGUAGUCUAUAAAAGUCACUAUUAUCUUAAUAAUCUUAACAUAAUUUUAUUCCCUGUGAAAAUAAACAUUCAUUAACAACAUAUGUCCUGGUACUAUAAUACUCCAUUUUAUUUUUAUACAUUGUUUAUUUGGAGAUAUCUUCUUAUAGGGGAUUUAGGGUCUUUAUAAUUUCUCUCUUGCAAUGAGCAUCCUAAGAAUUGUGUGCACUUGCCAAACUAAAUUCUUAGAAAAUCUUAGCAGUGAGGUCAAUGGCAAUGUUAUAAUGGCCUUUAAAAGAAAUUUACAGGCAAAAUCGCAGCAUAAAUAGAUGUGAGCACUUCCCCUCCAAAUUUAAACUACCACAACUCUAAUGCUUUUAUUGUUAUAUUGUUUUUUAUUGUAAAUAAAACAGGACGUAUUUUCUAGAUGCCACGAAUGAAAAAGAAACCUUAGAUGUAGUGGCGACCCCUCCUGAAAGCUGUGGAGGAGCUCCCGUUGUGACUCAGCCAGUUAAAAACCUGACUGGCAUCCAUGAAGAUGUGUGUUCCAUCCUCAGCCUCACUCAGUUGGUGAAAGGAUCCAGUGUUGCUGUGAGCAGCAGUGUAGAUCACAGAUGUGGCUCAGAUCUGGCACUGCUGUGGCUGUAGCCAUGGCCAGCAGCUGUGGCUCUGAUUCAACUCCUAGCCUGGGAACUUUCAUAUGCCACAGGU